rnacentral:rRNA from 1 species
GGAACCUAGAGGCUUGCCUUAACAUGCAAGUCGAGCGAUCUACUUCGUUAGAGAGCGGCGGCACGGGUGCGUAACGCGUGGGCUAACCUGCCCUGUACACACGAGAUAACAUACACUGAAAGGUAUGCUAAUACUGGAUAACAUAAUUUUAUCGCAUGGUCAAAUUAUCAAAGCUCCGGCGGUACAAGAUGGACCCACGUCUGCUUAGCUAGUUGGUAAGGUAACGGCUUACCAAGGCGACGAUCAGUAGCCGACCUGAGAGGGUGAUCGGCCACAUUGGAACUGAGACACGGUCCAAACUCCUACAGGAGGCAGCAGUGGGGAAUAUUGCACAAUGGGCGAAAGCCUGAUGCAGCAACGCCGCGUGACCGAUGAAGGCCUUCGGGUCGUAAAGCUCUGUCCUCAAGGAAGAUAAUGACGGAACUUGAGGAGGAAGCCCCGGCUAACUACGUGCCAGCACCCGCGGUAAUACGUAGGGGGCUAGCGUUAUCCGGAUUUACUGGGCUUAAAGGGUGCGUAGGUGGUUUCUUAAGUCAUAAGUGAAAGGCUACGGCUCACCCGUAGUAAG